UAUGUUGGAAAUGUUCUUGUUCUUUAACAUCAAUGAUUUUUACAAUGUAAACUGUCUUAUGUAGAGUUUACUAGCCUGUAUUGCCUUAGAGACAAACUUGGAACAUCCGAACAAUAUUUAGUAUAUAGCGGAUAUAGUUGAUACGUCAACAAAGUCAAAGACUCAAAAAAUUGUUCAUGCUAGCUGCAUGCAAUUCGAACAUAUGUAUGGAGAUCAAUGAGAUGGAUGGAAGACGGUCGGUCGGUGUUCUGCUUUUUUCAGUAACACAUGUAGUUUUAUAGCCUGCGCACAGAUGAAAUCAAGAGAAGAAAGAAAUCUGUCUUACAUUCGUUCAAUAUUCAUUGUGGUUCAAAAGAAACUUGUUCAGUUUUUCAUCGAACAAUGGAACUAUCAUUACAAAUAUAAAUAUGGAGAAUGGGAUGACACAAACAUCAGUGGAAACAAAUUUUACGAUAUAGAACGUACAAGAGGUCCAAGGCUUCCUCGAAGAAUAGGAAUGAAUUAUCGCGAUGGAGACACCAGUAAGUGGGACAAUGCAACAUUAUUCGAUGCUAUACUUUUUUCAAAAUCUAUUGGCAGACAUCUUGAUAAAAACACAAAGGAUGCUGUUCUUGCACUUCGUGCUGAAAGAAAGGAAUACGUACAUUCGUUUAAAAGCGAAUGCUCAGAUGAUGAUUUUGAUAAAAUAGUCUGUAACAUUGAAUAUUCAUUUAAGCAAAUGCUAUUUUCUCUCGAUGAAAUCAUUGAAAUAAAGGCUGAUCGAAGCAGUUUUAAUUCCUUUCAAGUUCUUCCUUCUAAACCUAAUCAUUUUCUCGUUGAACGCACAGAAUUACGAGAUCAAAUUAUAAAAGAUCUUGAAAUAUUAAGGAAU